rnacentral:snRNA from 1 species
GUGCUUGCUCAGGCAGCGCAUAUGAAAAAAUGGAAUCGAUACAGAGAAGAUUAGCAUGGCCCCUG